rnacentral:rRNA from 1 species
UGUAAAAUUUCAAAGGUCGAACAGACCUAAUGUUUUAGCUUCUACACCAAAAAUUUAUUUUAAUCCAACAUCGAGGUCGCAAUCUUUUCUUUUAAUAUGAACUUUCUAAAAAAAUUACGCUGUUAUCCCUAAGGUAAUUUUAUCUUAUAAUCAAAAAUUUUGGAUCAUCUACUCAUAAAUUUAUGAUUUUAAGUAAAAAAAGUUAAUUAAAUUUUUCAAUCACCCCAACAAAAUUAUUCUAUAAAAAUAUAAAUUUAAUUCUUAAAUCAUAAUUUUAUAAAAUAAUUAAACUCUAUAGGGUCUUCUCGUCUUUUAAUUAUAAUUAAGCUUUUUAACUUAAAAAUAAAUUUCUAUAAAAAUUUAAUAGAGACAGCUAUUUUCUUAUUCAACCCUUCAUUCCAGUUUUCAAUUAAAAAACUAAUGAUUAUGCUACCUUAGCACGGUCAAUAUACCACGGCCAUUUAAAAUCUCAGUGGGCAGGUCAGACCUUAAAUUAUAAACAAAAGGAC